rnacentral:rRNA from 1 species
AGAGUUUGAUCAUGGCUCAGAUUGAACGCUGGCGGCAGGCCUAACACAUGCAAGUCGAGCGGUAGCACAGAGAGCUUGCUCUCGGGUGACGAGCGGCGGACGGGUGAGUAAUGUCUGGGAAACUGCCUGAUGGAGGGGGAUAACUACUGGAAACGGUAGCUAAUACCGCAUAACGUCGCAAGACCAAAGUGGGGGACCUUCGGGCCUCAUGCCAUCAGAUGUGCCCAGAUGGGAUUAGCUAGUAGGUGGGGUAACGGCUCACCUAGGCGACGAUCCCUAGCUGGUCUGAGAGGAUGACCAGCCACACUGGAACUGAGACACGGUCCAGACUCCUACGGGAGGCAGCAGUGGGGAAUAUUGCACAAUGGGCGCAAGCCUGAUGCAGCCAUGCCGCGUGUGUGAAGAAGGCCUUCGGGUUGUAAAGCACUUUCAGCGGGGAGGAAGGCGNNNNNNNNNNCGAUUGACGUUACCCGCAGAAGAAGCACCGGCUAACUCCGUGCCAGCAGCCGCGGUAAUACGGAGGGUGCAAGCGUUAAUCGGAAUUACUGGGCGUAAAGCGCACGCAGGCGGUCUGUCAAGUCGGAUGUGAAAUCCCCGGGCUCAACCUGGGAACUGCAUUCGAAACUGGCAGGCUAGAGUCUUGUAGAGGGGGGUAGAAUUCCAGGUGUAGCGGUGAAAUGCGUAGAGAUCUGGAGGAAUACCGGUGGCGAAGGCGGCCCCCUGGACAAAGACUGACGCUCAGGUGCGAAAGCGUGGGGAGCAAACAGGAUUAGAUACCCUGGUAGUCCACGCCGUAAACGAUGUCGAUUUGGAGGUUGUGCCCUUGAGGCGUGGCUUCCGGAGCUAACGCGUUAAAUCGACCGCCUGGGGAGUACGGCCGCAAGGUUAAAACUCAAAUGAAUUGACGGGGGCCCGCACAAGCGGUGGAGCAUGUGGUUUAAUUCGAUGCAACGCGAAGAACCUUACCUGGUCUUGACAUCCACAGAACUUUCCAGAGAUGGAUUGGUGCCUUCGGGAACUGUGAGACAGGUGCUGCAUGGCUGUCGUCAGCUCGUGUUGUGAAAUGUUGGGUUAAGUCCCGCAACGAGCGCAACCCUUAUCCUUUGUUGCCAGCGGUUAGGCCGGGAACUCAAAGGAGACUGCCAGUGAUAAACUGGAGGAAGGUGGGGAUGACGUCAAGUCAUCAUGGCCCUUACGACCAGGGCUACACACGUGCUACAAUGGCAUAUACAAAGAGAAGCGACCUCGCGAGAGCAAGCGGACCUCAUAAAGUAUGUCGUAGUCCGGAUUGGAGUCUGCAACUCGACUCCAUGAAGUCGGAAUCGCUAGUAAUCGUAGAUCAGAAUGCUACGGUGAAUACGUUCCCGGGCCUUGUACACACCGCCCGUCACACCAUGGGAGUGGGUUGCAAAAGAAGUAGGUAGCUUAACCUUCGGGAGGGCGCUUACCACUUUGUGAUUCAUGACUGGGGUGAAGUCGUAACAAGGUAACCGUAGGGGAACCUGCGGUUG